rnacentral:lncRNA from 1 species
UACAUAAAGUAAUGGAGAAUCACCAGGAAGUUGAAUAAAUCUCAUAGGAGUUAGGAUGAAGUAAGCUAUCCCACUUUCAAAUCAGGUGAUCCUAGUUUUCCUGGUUGGGAAUAUGACAACUUCUUUGUCAUUCUAAUCAAACCAGGAUGAAUCGCGAUGUAAGAAGCUUGAUUUUGAUACAUAAAGUACUGGAGAAUCACCAGGAAGUUGAAUAAAUAUCAUAGGAGUUAGGAUGAAGAAGCUAUAGUGUUGAGAUAAGGAGUGUUAAGUGAAGAAUGGAGAUAAGGGUUGAGUAGAAUGAAGAGG